UCUCAGUUCGGAUUGUAGUCUGCAACUCGACUACAUGAAGCUGGAAUCGCUAGUAAUCGCAAAUCAGAAUGUUGCGGUGAAUACGUUCCCGGGUCUUGUACACACCGCCCGUCACACCAUGGGAGUCGGAAAUGCCCGAAGUCUGUGACCCAACGAAAGAGGGAGCACGCCGAAGGCAGGUCUGAUAACUGGGGUGAAGUCGUAACAAGGUAAC
rnacentral:rRNA from 1 species